AGGGAAACCGAGUCUUAAUAGGGCGUCUAGUUGCAGGGUAUAGACCCGAAACCGAGUGAUCUAUCCAUGAGCAGGUUGAAAGUGACGUAACAGUUACCGGAGGACCGAACCCACUGUCGUUGAAAAGCCAGGGGAUGACUUGUGGAUAGGGGUGAAAGGCUAAUCAAACUCGGUGAUAGCUGGUUCUCCCCGAAAGCUAUUUAGGUAGCGCCUCGGACGAACACCAUUGGGGGUAGAGCACUGUUUCGGCUAGGGGGUCAUCCCGACUUACCAAACCGAUGCAAACUCCGAAUACCGAUGAGUGAUAUCCGGGAGACAGACGGCGGGUGCUAACGUCCGUCGUCAAGAGGGAAACAACCCAGACCGCCAGCUAAGGCCCCAAAUUCCUAGUUAAGUGGGAAACGAUGUGGGAAGGCACAGACAGCUAGGAGGUUGGCUUAGAAGCAGCCAUCCUUUAAAGAAAGCGUAAUAGCUCACUAGUCGAGUCGGCCUGCGCGGAAGAUGUAACGGGGCUCAAACUAGGAGCCGAAGCUGCGGAUUUAAUUGUUUCAAUUAAGUGGUAGGGGAGCAUUGUGUAAGCCUGUGAAGGUGUGUUGUAAAGCAUGCUGGAGGUAUCACAAGAGCGAAUGCUGACGUGAGUAACGACAAUGCGAGUGAAAAGCUCGCACGCCGGAAGACCAAGGGUUCCAGUCCAACGUUAAUCGGGGCUGGGUGAGUCGACCCCUAAGGCGAGGCCGAAAGGCGUAGUCGAUGGGAAAUCGGUUAAUAUUCCGAUACUUGUUUAUGAUGCGAUGGAGGGACGGAGAAGGUUAUGCCAGCUUGGCGAUGGUUGUCCAAGUGGAAGGAUGUAGUUAGGUUUAGUAGGCAAAUCCGCUAGACUAUUAAUGAGAUCUGAUAGCAAGCUGUACUUGUACAGCGAAGUGGCAAAUACCCUGCUUCCAGGAAAAGCUUCUAAGCGAU
rnacentral:rRNA from 1 species